UAAGACGAACCGUGCGAACGUUAUUCGGAAUCACUGGGCUUAAAGGGUGCGUAGGCGGUCUGUCAAGUCAGGGGUGAAAUCCUUCGGCUUAACCGGAGAACAGCCCCUGAUACUGAUGGGCUCGAGGGAGAUAGAGGCAGCCGGAACUACCGGUGGAGCGGUGAAAUGCGUUGAUAUCGGUAGGAACGCCAGAGGCGUAAGCGGGCUGCUGGAUCUCUUCUGACGCUGAUGCACGAAAGCUAGGGGAGCAAACGGGAUUAGAUACCCCGGUAGUCCUAGCCCUAAACGAUGAGGACUGGAUGGUGGACCGGACACGGGCUCACCGUCGCAACAAAAGCGCUAAGUCCUCCGCCUGGGGAGUAUGGUCGCAAGGCUG
rnacentral:rRNA from 1 species